rnacentral:rRNA from 1 species
GACGAACGCUGGCGGCGUGCUUAACACAUGCAAGUCGAGCGGUAAGGCCCUUUCGGGGGUACACGAGCGGCGAACGGGUGAGUAACACGUGGGUGACCUGCCCUCAGCUCUGGGAUAAGCCUGGGAAACUGGGUCUAAUACCGGAUAUGACUCCAUGACGCAUGUUGUGGGGUGGAAAGCCUUGUGCGGCUGGGGAUGGGCCCGCGGCCUAUCAGCUUGUUGGUGGGGUGAGGCCUACCAAGGCGACGACGGGUAGCCGGCCUGAGAGGGCGACCGGCCACACUGGGACUGAGACACGGCCCAGACUCCUACGGGAGGCAGCAGUGGGGAAUCUUGCGCAAUGGGCGAAAGCCUGACGCAGCGACGCCGCGUGAGGGAUGACGGCCUGGUGUAACU